GACGAACGCUGGCGGCGUGCCUAAUACAUGCAAGUCGAACGCAGUGGGGACGGGUGAGUAACUCGUGGGUAACCUCCCAUCAGAGGGGAUAACACUUGGCAACAGGUGCUAAACCGAUAUUGGUGGAUGGACCCGCGGUGCAUUAGCUUGUUGGGGAGGUAACGGCUCCACAAGGCCACGAUGCAUAGCCGCCCUGAGAGGGUGAUCGGCCACACGGGGACUGAGAACCGGCCCAGACUCCUACGGGAGGAAGCAGUAGGGAAUCUUCGGCAAUGGACGAAAGUCGGACCGAGCAACGCCGCGUGAGUGAAGAAGGUUUUCGGAUCGUAAAACUCUGUUGUUAGAGAAGCGGUAUCUAACCAGAAAGCCACGGCUAACUACGUGCCAGCAGCCGCGGUAAUAC
rnacentral:rRNA from 1 species